GAUAAGCUCAUCACUCAACAUCUCAUUUGUAUAUAUAAGUCACAUUAAUCUCGUUGAGUUUCUAGGAAAUCUCGAUGGAAUAUCCAUUUACUGUCAAUUCGUACAAUGAUAGUUUCAGAUAUGCACUCCCGCGAACCUCACAUCUUAUGGCGGGAUAACUAGUCCAGGCUAAAUCACCCAUUUUAUGAACUCAUAAAGUGGUGUCGGGAUUACCAGUCCAGGCUAAAUCCC
rnacentral:lncRNA from 1 species